rnacentral:rRNA from 1 species
CUAAUACAUGCAAGUCGAGCGAAUGGAUUAAGAGCUUGCUCUUAUGAAGUUAGCGGCGGACGGGUGAGUAACACGUGGGUAACCUGCCCAUAAGACUGGGAUAACUCCGGGAAACCGGGGCUAAUACCGGAUAACAUUUUGAACCGCAUGGUUCGAAAUUGAAAGGCGGCUUCGGCUGUCACUUAUGGAUGGACCCGCGUCGCAUUAGCUAGUUGGUGAGGUAACGGCUCACCAAGGCAACGAUGCGUAGCCGACCUGAGAGGGUGAUCGGCCACACUGGGACUGAGACACGGCCCAGACUCCUACGGGAGGCAGCAGUAGGGAAUCUUCCGCAAUGGACGAAAGUCUGACGGAGCAACGCCGCGUGAGUGAUGAAGGCUUUCGGGUCGUAAAACUCUGUUGUUAGGGAAGAACAAGUGCUAGUUGAAUAAGCUGGCACCUUGACGGUACCUAACCAGAAAGCCACGGCUAACUACGUGCCAGCAGCCGCGGUAAU